CCGGCUGAUGACACUAAGGCGAAUGCGACUCUGUGCUUUCUGGCCCUUGGCUCCCUGGGGUUGGGGGUUUUGAAUGGGAUCUGAAAUCUUAGUGGGGUGCCCGAGGCCUGGCUCCUCACUAUAAGGCAGAUCCAUAGCAAUGCCGGCCUUGUCUCCACUUCUGCUGCUGCCUCCAGUUCCUGGCAGCCGCCUGCAUGGGGGCCUACAGGUGGGGACCAAUAUGGGACUGGGCACGAGCUAUCUGAGCGCAACCUUAGAUCUGACA
rnacentral:snoRNA from 12 species